GCCUAACACAUGCAAGUCGAGCGAAUGAAUUUCCUUCGGGAAUGGAUUUAGCGGCGGACGGGUGAGUAACACGUGGGCAACCUGCCUCAUAGAGGGGAAUAUCCUUCCGAAAGGGAGAUUAAUACCGCAUAAGAUUGUAGUACCGCAUGGUACAGCAAUUAAAGGAGCAAUCCGCUAUGAGAUGGGCCCGCGGCGCAUUAGCUAGUUGGUGAGGUAACGGCUCACCAAGGCGACGAUGCGUAGCCGACCUGAGAGGGUGAUCGGCCACAUUGGGACUGAGACACGGCCCAGACUCCUACGGGAGGCAGCAGUGAGGAAUAUUGGACAAUGGAUGGAAAUCUGAUCCAGCCAUGCCGCGUGCAGGAAGACGGCCUUAUGGGUUGUAAACUGCUUUUAUACGGGAGCAAUAAGGGUUACGAGUAAUCCGAUGAGAGUACUGUAUGAAUAAGGAUCGGCUAACUCCGUGCCAGCAGCCGCGGUAAUACGGAGGAUCCGAGCGUUAUCCGGAAUUAUUGGGUUUAAAGGGUGCGUAGGCGGCCAUUUAAGUCAGCGGUGAAAUUUUGCAGCUUAACUGUAACAGUGCCGUUGAUACUGUUUGGCUAGGAUUUGGUUGUAGUGUGCGGAAUGUGUGGUGUAGCGGUGAAAUGCUUAGAUAUCACACAGAACACCGAUUGCGAAGGCAGCACACUAAGUCAUUAUUGACGCUGAGGCACGAAAGUGUGGGAAUCAAACAGGAUUAGAUACCCUGGUAGUCCACACUGUAAACGAUGAUAACUCGCUGUCGGCGAUACACAGUCGGUGGCCAAGCGAAAGCAUUAAGUUAUCCACCUGGGGAGUACGACCGCAAGGUUGAAACUCAAAGGAAUUGACGGGGGCCCGCACAAGCGGAGGAACAUGUGGUUUAAUUCGAUGAUACGCGAGGAACCUUACCCGGGCUCGAACGGUGCAUGAAUAUACGAGAGAUUGUAUAGUCCUUCGGGACAUGUAUCGAGGUGCUGCAUGGUUGUCGUCAGCUCGUGCCGUGAGGUGUCGGGUUAAGUCCCAUAACGAGCGCAACCCCUAUCGAUAGUUACCAGCACGUUACGGUGGGGACUCUAUCGAGACUGCCGGUGUAAACCGUGAGGAGGGUGGGGAUGACGUCAAAUCAGCACGGCCCUUACAUCCAGGGCUACACACGUGUUACAAUGGCCGGUACAAAGGGCAGCUACACAGCGAUGUGAUGCUAAUCUCCAAAUCCGGUCUCAGUUCGGAUCGAAGUCUGCAACCCGACUUCGUGAAGCUGGAUUCGCUAGUAAUCGCGCAUCAGCCAUGGCGCGGUGAAUACGUUCCCGGGCCUUGUACACACCGCCCGUCA
rnacentral:rRNA from 1 species